GAUGAAGAACGUAGCGAAAUGCGAUAAGUAAUGUGAAUUGCAGAAUUCAGUGAUUCAUCGAAUCUUUGAACGCACCUUGCACCCUUUGGCAUUCUGAAGGGUAUGCUCGUUUGAGUGUCAUUGUACUCUCACACUCCCGAUCUUUGCAUUGGGAGCAGUGGACUUGGGUUUGCUGCUUCACCGUCGCUUACCUCAAAUAGGUUAGUGCAACUCUUGGUUGGACAUAGUACGGCGUGAUAAGUGUUCUUCGCCGGUGCCUCGCAAAGAGGGUGGCCGAUCGGGAUGUUGUGCUCCAAACCGUCUUCGGACAAUCUCUGACGACUUGACCUCAAAUCGAGUAAGACUACCCGCUGAACUUAAGCAUAUCAAUAAGCGGAGGA
rnacentral:misc_RNA from 1 species